CGUGCUAAAGGCAGCGUAUUGUACGGUUUCAGGGGAGGUCUAGCUGGAAUCAUGAAGGGCAAGUAUGUGGAACUUACACUAGAAUAUAUUUACCUGUACAGAAACCAGGGUUGUUUCUGCUCCUGGCAAGGUUUUGAUGACUGGGGGAUAUCUUAUUUUGGAGAGACCGAAUCCAGGGCUUGUUCUCAGUACAAGCGCUCGUUUUUACGCCAUUGUUAAACCUCUUCUCAAAGAAAUUAAGCCCGAUAGUUGGGCCUGGGCAUGGACAGAUGUGAAAGUGACAUCUCCUCAGCUUAAUAGAGAAAGCAUGUAUAAGUUGUCAAGGAAAAAUCUGACGCUUCAGAGUGUUUCAAGGCAAGUUUAUACUGGGUAAUGUUAAGUUUGUAUUUUAUUUGCUUAAUCAGUUUUUUUUUUUAAAUCUAGACAUGGCUAUAUAUCUUAUUGCCAUCUCACUGGUUAUACGAUCACAGAGAAAACUGGCUCUGGUUCAAAGAUGUCAACUUUGAAUGAUCAUCCCUCACUCUGCUUUGUUACUAAGUGUCGCUAAUAGAAUUAUCAUUCAACUAGCAUUAAAUUGUUAAUUAAAUCAUGAAGAUCUCACUCACUAUAUCAUGAUUAAAAAUUCAGGGAGUCGGGGAACCCUUUUGUGGAGCAAGUAGUGUAGUACUCUGUGGCAGCUGCAUAUGCUACAGCUGACAAGGACAGGAAGGAAGUGUUA